CGAAGACACACAACAUAACGAGGUGUUAAUCUGUUAAAUCUUGUCGUGGAUGAGGUUCUGAAAAGGUGCUAAACCACCCGCUGCUGCUGUCAAGGGAACAGUUCUGCAGCACUUUUGCAAAAAAUGUUAGGGAGGGAGCAGCCGUGCAGAUUCUACCCUAAAAUCUAUUUCAUUUUAUUUAUUUUUGCUAAAAUCCCCAUCCCUUAUACCUGUCCCUGGCUUGCAGAGGUGCUGGAGGCAAAGGGGCUGAGCGCUGGUGGCUUCUGCUUCUUCUUCCCCCCUCCAAGGUUUUACCCUCACCUCCAAAGGUGGGAAAGGGAGAGGUACUGAUUAUUAAGUGGAAUUUUGGGGAUAAUUGCAUGGAAAAGGGCAUUAUGCUCCCCUCCCCAGCUUGGUGCCAAGGUGCAGAAACCUCUGUGCAAGAAGAUAAUUGCAAUACAAACAUGAUAAUAAAUGAGAUGAAAGCCCUGCCCUGACCCCGCUCUCCUGGAGAAGAAGGGGUUGCUAUUGCUUUUUUAAUGCUUUUGAUUUUGAUAUUUCUUUUUGCUAUAUAUAUAUUUUAAGUUUUAUGCUAAUUAAAUAAAAUGUCCUUCCCUUUGCACCUCUCAGAGGCUGCUUCGCUUUCGGAAACCGCUUUUUGUGGGCGGCCUCAGCAGGUUGGGGAGCAGAGGACAGCAGGCGAGGCUCAGACACCCAGCGCCGCUUCACCCAGCUUUACCUCCAGAAAAAAAAUAUAUAUAUAUAUAUAUAAAUAAUAAUAAUUUCUUUUUCUGCACCUGGCUCUGCUGCUCCCUGGGGACUGCUGGCGAUGGCGUUGACAACGGUUUACACCGACCUGGAGUUGCCACCGGGUCCCAGAGGCAUCCCACAGCUCCCAAAGCCUCCGGUCCCGUUGCAGGUCACCGGUGGUACUGGGUGAUAAUGGGAACCGGAUGGGUUGGGGCCGCCGUCCUGGCGGGCAUCGUGGUGUGGCUGCUGCAGCGACACGAUGGAAACAGCCUCAAUCCCACUGGCUCGUGCUCCUGGGAAUCCUGCCUGGGCAAGGACACCCCCAGCUCCAACUGCUCCCUGAACUGCUUCCAGCUGGGGCUCAGAGAGCGGCUGUGCGAGGCCGAGAGCCACCAGGCACCAGGUGCCGAGGGCUGCUGGCUCUGCCCUGCGGGCUGGCAGCCCUUUGCCACCAAAUGCUACUGGGUUUCUGCAAAAACCCUGUCCUGGGAAGAGGCAGGAGGUGACUGCAAGGACAGGAGGGCGGAAUUGGUGAUGCUGAAGAGCGUGGAGGAGAAGGUAAAGGACCAAAGAGAAAGCAUCACGACCCCAAUCAGAUUUUUUUGCAGCUGAUGCUGCCUGCCCAAGUUGCAGAGACAAUCGGAUGUCAGGGAAAAAUAAAUAAUAAUAAAGAGGGGGGAAUAAUAAUGAUAAAAUAAUACAAUAAUAAUAGAAGGGGGAGAAAAGAGGGAUGGAGGGGG